rnacentral:rRNA from 1 species
GAUGAACGCUGGCGGCGUGCUUAACACAUGCAAGUCGAACGGGAAUUACUUUAUUGCACCUUCGGUCGAUUUAAUUUAAUUCUAGUGGCGGCCGGGUGAGUAACGCGUGGGUAACCUGCCUUAUACAGGGGGAUAACAGUCAGAAAUGGCUGCUAAUACCGCAUAAGCGCACAGAGCUGCAUGGCUCGGUGUGAAAAACUCCGGUGGUAUAAGAUGGACCCGCGUUGGAUUAGCUUGUUGGUGGGGUAACGGCCCACCAAGGCGACGAUCCAUAGCCGGCCUGAGAGGGUGAACGGCCACAUUGGGACUGAGACACGGCCCAGACUCCUACGGGAGGCAGCAGUGGGGAAUAUUGCACAAUGGGGGAAACCCUGAUGCAGCGACGCCGCGUGAAGGAAGAAGUAUCUCGGGAUGUAAACUUCUAUCAGCAGGGAAGAUAGUGACGGUACCUGACUAAGAAGCCCCGGCUAACUACGUG